UUUAACACUUUCUUUUUGUUGUUUAUGAAAGUUGACAAAUAAUUAAAGAAGGUUGAAGAAGAAAAUGAACCAUAACCAAUGAUAGUGGCAUUUAAAAUAUAAAGUUGAAGUCCAAUCAAAGGGAUAUGAUUUUUGCUACAAAAAGGAUAGAAUGCUUUAGUUUUUAUGAGUCUGAGACUUGUCGUUUCAGCAUAAUAGAUUUUGCA
rnacentral:lncRNA from 1 species